CGAAUGCUGACAUAAGUAACGAUAAAGCGGGUGAAAAGCCCGCUCGCCGGAAGACCAAGGGUUCCUGUCCAACGUUAAUCGGGGCAGGGUGAGUCGACCCCUAAGGCGAGGCCGAAAGGCGUAGUCGAUGGGAAACAGGUUAAUAUUCCUGUACUUGGUGUUACUGCGAAGGGGGGACGGAGAAGGCUAUGUUGGCCGGGCGACGGUUGUCCCGGUUUAAGCGUGUAGGCUGGUUUUCCAGGCAAAUCCGGAAAAUCAAGGCUGAGGCGUGAUGACGAGGCACUACGGUGCUGAAGCAACAAAUGCCCUGCUUCCAGGAAAAGCCUCUAAGCAUCAGGUAACAUCAAAUCGUACCCCAAACCGACACAGGUGGUCAGGUAGAGAAUACCAAGGCGCUUGAGAGAACUCGGGUGAAGGAACUAGGCAAAAUGGUGCCGUAACUUCGGGAGAAGGCACGCUGAUAUGUAGGUGAAGUCCCUCGCGGAUGGAGCUGAAAUCAGUCGAAGAUACCAGCUGGCUGCAACUGUUUAUUAAAAACACAGCACUGUGCAAACACGAAAGUGGACGUAUACGGUGUGACGCCUGCCCGGUGCCGGAAGGUUAAUUGAUGGGGUCAGCGCAAGCGAAGCUCUUGAUCGAAGCCCCGGUAAACGGCGGCCGUAACUAUAACGGUCCUAAGGUAGCGAAAUUCCUUGUCGGGUAAGUUCCGACCUGCACGAAUGGCGUAAUGAUGGCCAGGCUGUCUCCACCCGAGACUCAGUGAAAUUGAACUCGCUGUGAAGAUGCAGUGUACCCGCGGCAAGACGGAAAGACCCCGUGAACCUUUACUAUAGCUUGACACUGAACAUUGAGCCUUGAUGUGUAGGAUAGGUGGGAGGCUUAGAAGUGUGGACGCCAGUCUGCAUGGAGCCGACCUUGAAAUACCACCCUUUAAUGUUUGAUGUUCUAACGUUGACCCGUGAUCCGGGUUGCGGACAGUGUCUGGUGGGUAGUUUGACUGGGGCGGUCUCCUCCUAAAGAGUAACGGAGGAGCACGAAGGUUGGCUAAUCCUGGUCGGACAUCAGGAGGUUAGUGCAAUGGCAUAAGCCAGCUUGACUGCGAGCGUGACGGCGCGAGCAGGUGCGAAAGCAGGUCAUAGUGAUCCGGUGGUUCUGAAUGGAAGGGCCAUCGCUCAACGGAUAAAAGGUACUCCGGGGAUAACAGGCUGAUACCGCCCAAGAGUUCAUAUCGACGGCGGUGUUUGGCACCUCGAUGUCGGCUCAUCACAUCCUGGGGCUGAAGUAGGUCCCAAGGGUAUGGCUGUUCGCCAUUUAAAGUGGUACGCGAGCUGGGUUUAGAACGUCGUGAGACAGUUCGGUCCCUA
rnacentral:rRNA from 1 species